ACCAAGGUGCCCGGCGGGCAUGCUGGGCAGGACGGCAGGUAGCAAGUCACGCGCGAAUCGUGGCACUCGCACUCGCGGCAGUUGUCAUUGGUCCAGCGAGCCAAGUCCUGAGGGGAUGACGGGUAGAUGAAAUGUUUAUAUAUAAAAAAUAGUCUGGAAAAAGAGGAUGGCCACCUGCGUAGCUUGCAACUCGCGCAUUAAAGACACAACAACGACGAACUUCAUCCGUCACUACAAAACUCACAAAGACAGCAUGAUGGAUUCCUCGAGGGUGAUGCUGGAAAAAGAAGGCACUGGAAAGAAGAUAACCGCUACCUUCGCUUUGGGCCUUGGCUGACCUUUUCUGCAAAGUUGAACGAGCUAAGCUAAAGGAUUGUCCUUCAUGCAAACAGGCCAUUUUCUGAAAGGAACACCGUGGACAGCAUAUUCCUGAAAGACGCGGGAUGCACAUCAAACGAGAUCCCUAUAAAGGUAUUGAAAAGAAUUGGAAAGUUUGUUCUCUCUCUGAGGACGUAAAGAAAUGUAUUUCAUUUAGUAAACUGAAUUCAAAACUUCCUUGACAAGGUCCUUGAUUUUUGUGAGGAGUUCUCAGUUGUGCAAGUUGUGGGUACAGUCGAAGGUGGUGCACUUUGAUGCAGCAUAAAUGCUGGAUGUACUUGUGAUUUGGUGUAAUGUAAUGAGAAAAGCGCUUUAAAAGCAGGAGGGACUUUCUGACCUCCAUGUAAUAUUUUUGGAGACGUGCAUAAAGGUGCACAUUAUAUCUCUCUGCAAGUCCAACAACUAUUCAACAUAUUUAAUCUCACUGUACACACGUUUGAAAUACAAUUAACAUUCAUUUGACACCAUGUGACCUACACUAAUGGAAGUUUACUUUAUUAAGUUAAGGCCAUAUUUAUCAUGUACUGUAUAGCAAAUAUGCAGAAACAUCCGCCAAGGCUUAACAAUCAUUAGAGUUCCCAUAUAUUACCCUACUUUUUCUUUUUUUGGAAUGGUAUAUUGUCUCUAUGAUGCCUCAGUA